ACGCUGGCGGCGUGCCUAAUACAUGCAAGUAGAACGCUGAAGGAGGAGCUUGCUUCUCUGGAUGAGUUGCGAACGGGUGAGUAACGCGUAGGUAACCUGCCUGGUAGCGGGGGAUAACUAUUGGAAACGAUAGCUAAUACCGCAUAACAGUAGAUGUUGCAUGACAUUUGCUUAAAAGGUGCAAUUGCAUCACUACCAGAUGGACCUGCGUUGUAUUAGCUAGUUGGUGGGGUAACGGCUCACCAAGGCGACGAUACAUAGCCGACCUGAGAGGGUGAUCGGCCACACUGGGACUGAGACACGGCCCAGACACCUACGGGAGGCAGCAGUAGGGAAUCUUCGGCAAUGGACGGAAGUCUGACCGAGCAACGCCGCGUGAGUGAAGAAGGUUUUCGGAUCGUAAAGCUCUGUUGUAAGAGAAGAACGAGUGUGAGAGUGGAAAGUUCACACUGUGACGGUAUCUUACCAGAAAGGGACGGCUAACUACGUGCCAGCAGCCGCGGUAAUACGUAGGUCCCGAGCGUUGUCCGGAUUUAUUGGGCGUAAAGCGAGCGCAGGCGGUUAGAUAAGUCUGAAGUUAAAGGCUGUGGCUUAACCAUAGUACGCUUUGGAAACUGUUUAACUUGAGUGCAAGAGGGGAGAGUGGAAUUCCAUGUGUAGCGGUGAAAUGCGUAGAUAUAUGGAGGAACACCGGUGGCGAAAGCGGCUCUCUGGCUUGUAACUGACGCUGAGGCUCGAAAGCGUGGGGAGCAAACAGGAUUAGAUACCCUGGUAGUCCACGCCGUAAACGAAGAGUGCUAGGUGUUAGACCCUUUCCGGGGUUUAGUGCCGCAGCUAACGCAUUAAGCACUCCGCCUGGGGAGUACGACCGCAAGGUUGAAACUCAAAGGAAUUGACGGGGGGCCCCGCACAAGCGGU
rnacentral:rRNA from 1 species